UAAAUUUAUACGAGUUUGGAAUGCAAUUCGGAAUUCGAAAUUAACGUCAAAAACAGAAAUCAUGAAAGAGUUUUAAAUAGAACUCAUCUCAAGCUCUAAACAUCAAGAAUGGUGAAAUUAGAAAAACCUCAAAGGAUAAGGGUAAAUAACCCUUUCUAUCCUCUUUUCCUAAGCACCCAUACAUGAAUAGUUUCUCCCCCCUUACCUUGAAAUUGCAUAAUUCAUAAGCUUUUGGUUAUG
rnacentral:lncRNA from 1 species